rnacentral:rRNA from 1 species
UACGUAGGGGGCAAGCGUUAUCCGGAUUUACUGGGUGUAAAGGGAGCGUAGACGGCAAUACAAGUCGGAAGUGAAAUACCCGGGCUCAACCUGGGAACUGCUUUGGAAACUGUAUGGCUGGAGUGCUGGAGAGGUAAGCGGAAUUCCUAGUGUAGCGGUGAAAUGCGUAGAUAUUAGGAGGAACACCAGUGGCGAAGGCGGCUUACUGGACAGUAACUGACGUUGAGGCUCGAAAGCGUGGGGAGCAA